CAUCAAAAUGAGAAUCGCGGCAAUGAUUUAUGGACUUCUUGUCCUAAUGCUGAUGAUCGCCGUCAUACCAGCCGAUCCCGGAAGAUCAAGCCCUCGUGGUAAAUCCCGUAGCUAUAAUGGACCUAGCGGCUUUAGGAGUUCAAGGCAUUCAAGCAAAUCCAAAGGCCAUCGUGAGUGAAUUCAACCUCUAACAGCUCAAGGGAGAGGCUUGAGAACGGACGUGACUCACAGGAUAUACCGGUCGGGAAAAACAAUGCUGAUGCUAGUGUAAAAAUUUUACAAUUUUUUUAUACGUAAAUAUAAUUGUUUAAUACGCAGUACAUAGGGGUCUAACAAAAUUACAAAAAAUAUCGAUAACGUUACUGAAAUGCAGUUGCGUGUUUUAAUUGUUUAUUGAUUAUGUCUCGUUGAUAUUACUGGAUGUGUUUUUGCUCAAACUUUUUGAUAAAAUGCCUCACGGUAACUAAUAAAAUGUAAACAAUAUUUUUGUUUACUAUUUUUAUUGAAAAAUACACACAGUUGGGUUCACAUUGUAGGCUCUAACAUUCUGUAGAAAAUACCAGCAAAAACAGAAG